GUAACAGAGGGUUCGAUUGGCGGCUCAGAUUGAACGCUGGGUGAUGUUUACACAUGCAAGUCGAACGGCAGCACGGACUUCGGUCUGGUGGCGAGUGGCGAACGGGUGAGUGGUAAUGUAUCGGAACGUGCCUAGUAGCGGGGGAUAACUACGCGAAAGCGUAUUAAUACCGCAUACUACCCCGGGGGAGCGGGGGGACCUUCGGGCCUCGCACUAUUAGAGCAAUAGAUAAUGGAUUAGCUAGUUGGUGGGGUAACGGCUCACCAAGGCGACGAUCCGUAGCUGGUUUGAGACGACCAGCCACACUGGGACCGAGACACGGCCCAGGCUCCUACGGGAGGCAGCAGGGAAUUUUUGACAAUGGGGGAAACCCCGAUCCAGCCAUCCUGCGUGCGAUGAAGGCCUUCGGGUUGUAAAGCACUUUGGCAGGAAAGAAACGGCACGGAGCUGGUCAAUUCUCGUGCAACUGACGGUACCUGCAGAAUGGCACCGGCUAACACGCCAGCAGCCGCGGUAAUACGUGUAGGGUGCAAGCGUUAAUCGGAAUUACUGGGCGUGCAAAAAGCGUGCGCAGGCGGUUCGGAAAAGAGCAGCGAAAUCCUGGAGCUUAACUUUGGAACUGUACUUUUAACUACCGAGCUAGAGUGUGUCAGAGUGGAGGUGGAAUUCGCGUGUAGCAGUGGAAAUGCGUAGAUAUGCGGAGGAACACCGAUGGCGAAGGCAGCCUCCUGGGAUAACACUGACGCUCAUGCACGAAAGCGUGGGGAGCAACAGGAUUAGAUACCCUGCAGUCCACGCCCUAAACGAUGUCAACUAGCUGCUGGGGCCUUCGGGCCUUGGUAGCGCAGCUAACGCGGUGAAGUUAACGCCUGGGGGAGUACGGUCGCAAGAUUUCAAACUCAAAGGAAUUGACGGGGACCCGCACACGGUGGAUGAUGUGGAUUAAUUCGAUGCAACGCGAAAACCUUACCUACCCUUGACAUGUCUGGAAUCCCGAAGAGAUUUGGGAGUGCUCGCAAGAGAACCGGAACACAGGUGCUGCAGGCUGUCGCCGUCAGCUCAGGUCGAGAUGUUGGGUUAAGUCCCGCAACGAGCGCAACCCUGUCAUUAGUUGCUACGAAAGGGCACUCUAAUGAGAUCGCCGGUGACAAACCGGAGGAAGGUGGGGAUGACGUCGUCCUCAUGGCCCUUAUGGGUAGGGCUUCACACGUCAUACAAUGGUCGGGAUGGGGAGGUCAACCCGCGAGGGGGAGCCAAUCCCAGAAACCGAUCGUAGUCCGGAUCGCAGUCUGCAACUCGGACUGGCGUGGUCGGAAUCGUUGGCAAUCGCGGAUCAGCAUGUCGCGGUGAAUACGUUCCCGGGUCUUGUACACACCGCCCGUCACACCAUGGGAGUGGGUUUUACCAGAAGUAGUUAGCCUAACCGUAAGGAGGGCGAUUACCACGGUAGGAUAUGACUGGGGUGAAGUCAAACAAGGUAG
rnacentral:rRNA from 1 species